GAAGACAUUGAGGCGUUUUUUUGGGACAGUUCAUGUGUUGGCUUAUGGAGUAUCUACCUUAAACAGUGCAGUUGCUUGUAAGAAAUGCUAAAAGACAGGAACCGCAGUCAUGGUUUGCUAUUUGUGGUAUUGGUCUCGCUGGAACUGGAGUUAACGCUGAA